GCUGGUCCUCUUUCUCUCUCCAGUAAGUGACAGACCCCUCUUGAUGGUGUCUCAUACAGUGGCCCACCACAGGCAUUUGUGCAAGUGCACUUUGUGACUCUGAUAGCAAUUUGCCUGAAGGCUGCUGGGAGUUCUUGGAGAGAAAAGCAAAACUAUUGGUUUUUUUCAUCUUUUCCUUGUAAUCCUGAAUGGCUUCUAAGAUCGUACCUGUGCAAUCUGAUUGUUCCCUGUAAGUGAGCAGCCCUAUGGCUUUCUUGCAGAAGUCUGUGAGGAAGCAGAAGGAAAAGACUCCUCUCUUGGUCACUGGACUUAUCCCCUUAUAAUGCCCCAAGCACUUGGCAGCCUUAUGAAGUCCUGAAGUAUAAAGCCCUAAGUUGCUGAGUUGUACAGCCUGUCCUGCAAAACCUCACACUGACACACUGGCCUACGCACAUUCAUGGAGGGAGAAUAUGCAACAUUGCUCCAUUUCCUUCAAAAGUUUCAACAUAUUGAAAAGAGACAAUGGCAGACGGCAGCAGAAUUACCCAUCCUCACUGGACCAUCAUCACUGGCAUCUGGCAGUUCUGCAGAAGCCAUCCAUCUGCCCAUCUCUGCCUCCUCUGCCCUGGACCAUGGUGCCCUCUCCUGUCCUGCAUCAUACCUUUGUGCAGCCACACUGCACACCAGGCUGCAGAAACCCACACUAAAAUGAACCUAGCUGAAAACAAGGAGUGAUUGUAGCCUGGAGUGUUUCUAUGUGAAGACUGCAUGAAGACCAGUGCUGGGAGUGUUGGAAUGAGGGGGCUGAGCCUUCUGCAUAGGAACUGUGAAGUGCUACUGUAACUGCAGUGAGAAGCCACUGCAUCCAUAACACAGGAUAUAGAGGUGAGUAAAGAAACAUAGGGUGACUUUUUUUAUGACCGCUGUCUCUGGCAUCCAGUUAUUUGACUUCUGUUAAUGGUGGCUGUGUUGUUACCAGAACAACUUUGAUGGGACUUGAACAUCAUCCUUAAUGAAUAUAUUAACCAUGUAAGUCUCGAAAGCAGAGGAAGAGCACAUGCUUUUUGCUGGAUGUUUGUGCCAACAGAGGGUAGGAAUGUGAAGGGUUGUGAUCCCCGGCUGAUGAACCUGCAAUAGGACCAGCUACUGGCAGACACCAUGGCUUGAUUUGCUGAGAGACAGAGGUAGCCCAGGACAUUUGGACAAGCUGACUGCUUUUGGCCAAGCUGUCCUGAUCACGAAGUACUAGAAUGCAAUUCUUAGUCUCAUGAACCUAAGAUAUAUUUUAGUUUGGCAAGAAGAAACUAUGCAAGUUUCUCAGAUAAGGAGUAAUACUGACAUUUCACAAGGAAAACAUCCAGUGCCCUGAUCCAUGUUUACGAACAUGAAUCUCUCCUUAUACUCCCUUUACAAACGUGUUUACAAAGUCCCACGAAGCACUCUGUCUGUAUGUAUGUACUGCAUACACACACACACAAUUCUGUUGUUGCCCACUCUCACCACUCCAGUGUGAAUACAAUUUGGCUGAAUAACUAGUUACAUUAAGCUUUGGUUUAGUUUUAUGCACAAAACAUGAGCCUGUUUUUCCAAACAAAAGCUUAGCUUUAAAGGCAGCUGGGGCCCUCUUCAGAGAUGGAGAGACUCCAAAGCAGCAUGUGCAAGUAAAUAAGCAAGUAAAGCGUGGGUGUCCUGGGCUUGUGAUGCAAGUUCUUGUGGGAAGGGCUUGGCUGCCAUGCCAGCUGUGUGAGAUUAGGAUGGGAGGCAGUGGAAGUGCCCCCUCUUAAAGGUUCAACUUAUGGUCUGUUCCCUCCUCCUUUCUUUUCCCUUCCUUCCUAUUUGUUCUCCCCUUCCUCUCUUCUGGCAGGAAGGUUUCCUUGCAGAAAAGACAUAUGAAUCAUAAGGGCCUGCUCAGAACCCUGGGAAGUGCUGCAUGCAGAGCACAGAGAUUGAUGCAUGGUCUGCAGGACAGGUGCAUGGCUGAAGCUUACAGGGAUCUGCUUAUACCAAGAUGUUAACCAAGACUUGUGGAUUCACGACUCACAGCUCUAGAUGUUCUACAAAGAUCUGGGGAAAACAGAUUAACACAUGUAAUGUUCUGAAUGCAAGGAAGCCGGUUAGCCACGCAUGGAGUUGGAAGAGGAAUUUGAAAUUUCUUUGCCUUGGAUUAUUCUCCUGGGGUAUGGUCUACCGAGGGAGGGGGAUCUGCAGUCGUGUCCACACAGGAGUGCUGUCCCUUGAACAAUCAACACUGAUGGGUAUUUAAGAGAGACUUAUGCAAAUACACACAUCUGAGUUGUUAGUGCCUACAUUUGGGCAGAAGUGUCCCAACACUGUCUCCAACAUGCACGUAUAGUUUCCUACAGACAAACAAUUUUACACUGCUGAGCAAAGACUGAAUGAAUAGUGCCUAUGAGUGCAGCUACAAGAAACUUAUUUAUGCUCUCAAAUCGACUGAAGUUGCUACUUUAUUAAUGCUUAUGUAGUCAUUUUUUGUCUCAUUUGUAUCUGGACAAAGCAGAUUCUGUUUGUUCUCAACAGUGUGAAACGUGAGUUAGUGGCAAAGCACUUCUUGUCCUUCUUUCUUAACUCUGAUGAACAAAAAGGUCAGGGUGUUCUUCCAGUGUAUGGUUACCCUGAAUUAUUGCACACUUUAUUUUCCUCUGAUUUGAUAAUAUUUACUUUAAACCUAAGCACAGAUGAUUUGCUGUGAGACUCUUUUUUUCUUUCCAGCUAGGUUGAAUUUUUUUUCUAUAGCAUAAUUGGGAAUCCCUACUUGCAUCAGUGAAGCUCUAAAGGGAAGAAUAGUAAGGUCAAGUUUUCCUUGUAUGUGUGGGACUCCAAGGCAGGCAAUGUAGGCAGUGCUUGGCAAAGUGAGGAGAUGGUGGUUUACAGUUUGUUUUGCAAGUAGAUGAGAACAAAGCCAAAAAAUCUGUUUAUAUCCCUCCCACGCUUUUUUUUCCGAAAAGGUAUGACAAUGUCGAGUAGGACAGCCCUGCGUAAGGCUGGAUAAUUUAAAACAGUUUUAGGUUUCCUAAAAAUACUAUUUGUAUUACAACUCAACAUUUUAUUUAUAACUGUUAAUUAAACACCAUCUUAAAGUCUUGUCUCUUGAGAGAGAGAGCUUAAUUUCAGAUAUUGUUCCAUGUUUGACUCCAUGAUAAACAAAUUUUAACUUUUCAAAAGUGGAUGAUGCAAGUAAAUUAACUUCCUGUAGGAUGUGAGAAUUC